UCGGACGUGGUGUAUGGGACACCGCGGGGAUCUCUUACCCAGCAGCAUUUAAAUAUGUUCCUCGUAGUCCGGGGUUCGACUCCCCGCGUCCGAU